GCAUCUAGUCUGUUGUUUCAUAGAUAUUCAAGGAAAAUGGAGAGAGAUUUGUUUAUUAGAUUAGGGUAAGGGUCCAAAACAGUCUUGAAAACAUGCUUUACCGAUUUUCUAACCCUGGAUAAUGAUGCAUUAGUUCAUUAUGAUUUGGAGGAACAGAAAUGACUUUUGAGAUAUUAGAGACGUUUUAGAUGCAAUUAAAAACUGGCCACAGAAGAGUACAGUACGUUUCUGACAAAAAAAAAAAAAAACUAAGACAUUCUCUGAUAAUGCACAGUAAUACAUUAAAAAUAAAACCUCAAAAGAUUACUGUAAAUAUAUGAACACAAUCUCAAACUUCUUGAGUUUAUGGUGGUUAUUUCUCUUUUAGCAUUACCUACAUUGGCCCUAAUGCUCUGCCAUACUUCAAUGACUUUGAAGCAUUUUUUUUAAUAGUGAUUACCGUAAUUUUUUUCAUCUUGAACUGGACUCCAGUAUUACUGAUUUCUGAGUUAAAAUGAACACAGUCAUUAAUUUCAAGCCUCUUAUUUCUGUUAAUUGUCAUGAUUUUCUACUGACAGCUAAUUAAGACGCAGCAUUUAAGAUUAGAGUAUUGGGUCAUACCAAUUACAACCGGACCACACGUUAUAUUUGUGUGCACAAACUUUGCAAGUAAAGCUAAUUCUGAUUAUGAGAUGAUAAAAUCAUUGCAACAAAUAACUAAAAAUGUAAUGUCUCCAAACUAAAGCAGUAAAAUUGCUAUCAUAACAACAAAGUUUAUAAGCUGUCAUCUUCAAAUAAAGCCGUUAUGAAAUUUUGACAACACAAUUGUUGAUAAAACUAUCUUGAGUCCUUUAUAUCGAAAGAUAAUAAAUCACAAUUGUUCUCAGCAAUUAAUCAAAUCACUCAGCCAAGGUUUCUGUAUAUAUUAUUUCUAGUUUUUUCAGGUGUUUUUGGCUUUAAUUGGGAAUUAUUCAACCGUUUACGGCGUUGUUAAAUAAAUAAGGUUGUUGGAUAAAAUCUUUUUCAUCUUGACCCGAAUUGUGGAUAAAUUGAGAACUUUGAAUACCCUCGAAAACACACACCAUAAAACCACAGGCUUGUUUUUUCAUCUUGACUUUUGAGAUAAAAGUCAGACAUCAGUGUCAGCACUUUUUGCAGAAUACACAAUUCCACAAUAUUUUGACACAGUAUUUUUUCAGCUUUAAACCCACCCACGGUGUCCAUGUGUCACUCCAGAGUAGAAAACGAAUUAAAAAGAAAUAAUGCAGAUGUUUCCUGUUAGCAUACUGUAGUUACAUUUCACAGUGGAGUCAGAGAUUCCGUUUCUCUUGUGCAUUAGAGAGCUCACCACUCUCUGUGCGCUCCUUCUAGUGCUGAGCCAGUUUGCUGACAGCCCUGUAAUUUAAAGCCCCCAUCUGCCUCAAUAUUUCUUCUUUCUUUGUUGAUCCCUUUCUCGUUUUCCACCGGUGAUCUCCCUUUUCUCUCGCCCUCUCCCAAACGCCUUGUUGUGUCAUUAGCUUUACAAGUGGAGCAGAUUAGUGUUUCUGGUUUGCAGAGGGUUCGCAUCGCUGCUUCUCCAACUCAUAAAAAGAGCUCUGCACUUUUAAUGACUGAGAACUUUAGGAUGUGACCAGAGAUUUAUUGGGCACUCGCAUUAGAUGUGCUGUCUCACCUCCUGACCUCCCGCUCUGUAUGAGUCGGUGUGUUAUUUCUUCUUCACGCGUCAUCUAAUCUCUCCCUAAAUAAAGUCUUGGUCACAAAGAAAGAUAAAACGUAGAAAUUCAGCCCAUUUAAAUCCAGCGCAUUAUACUUACUUAACUGUGCAACCCUCGUCCGUAUCACCACAAAAAAAAAAAAAAAAACGGCGCAGUAUUAAUCAGACAGGGAGAUGCGUUAUUGUCUGGGCUUUUU